GGCCUUAAAUGAAGGAAAGGACAUGAAAGUGGCUUGCCUGUACAUGAGCUUCUACAUAGAGUUAGUGGCGACGUUUCCUCUCGAGCUGCUGUUCAUGGACAUCGUGAUGAAAAUCGUCUCAACGCAAAAAGCUAUCAACAAUGCUUUGAUGGACUUCAUCUGUCAAAUUGACAAGCGAGAACGACACGUAAACGUCAUCGACUUCAAUUGUCCAUCUAACAAGGUUAAUUUUGAUCCUUACGAAA